GACGAACGCUGGCGGCGUGCUUAACACAUGCAAGUCGAACGGAAAGGCCCUUCUUUUGUGGGGUGCUCGAGUGGCGAACGGGUGAGUAACACGUGAGUAACCUGCCCUUGACUUUGGGAUAACUUCAGGAAACUUGGUCUAAUACCGGAUAUGAGCUCCUGCUGCAUGGUGGUGGUUGGAAAGUUUCGGCGGUUGGGGAUGGACUCGCGGCUUAUCAGCUUGUUGGUGGGGUAGUGGCUUACCAAGGCUUUGACGGGUAGCCGGCCUGAGAGGGUGACCGGCCACAUGGGGACUGAGAGACGGACCAGAGUCCAACGGGAGGCAGCAGUGGGGAAUAUUGCACAAUGGGCGGAAGCCUGAGGCAGAAACGCCGCGUGCGGGAUGAGGGCCUGCGGGUUGUAAACAGCUUUCGCCUGUGACGAAGCGGGAGUGACGGUAAUGGGUAAAGAAGCACCGGCUAACUACGUG
rnacentral:rRNA from 1 species